UUCAUUUAUUUAUUUAUUAUUAUUAUUUUUUUUUCAUUUCCUUUCCUAAUAUACCACUUAUAUCCAGUUGCAUUCAUUCAACAAGUCAAAUUGAAGAGAAGCUUCUCGCAGGACUCAACCUUGAUCAAAGUCCGUAUUGUUUCAAUUCGCUGUUAAUUCCUCUUUGCCUUGAAGGUUAAUAUGAAGUUCUUGCUUCCUACAUCGAAUGGAACUUGAUUUCCUGGCCUCAACUUUCAUAAGCUUUCAAUUCUUCGGAGAUGGUAAAUAAUAAUCCUAGGUUUUUGUAGAACUGUGAUUAAGCCAUGUAAAUCAAACAUGAAUAAUGACAACGCCCACCACAUCCAUCGAAACAGAAAGGAAUGGAUAGAUGGAUGGAUGGAAUGAAUGGCAAAAAGAAAGAGAUAAGUUGACAGAACCGUGAAAGAACAUUACGGCGUAGCGGAGUGACAAAUGUAGUGAGUCCUUCCUUGUGUGAGUGGCCUCCUUAACCCUCUCAUGGAGGUAACCCUAUCAGAAAUAGAUGAAUAAGACACAUGGACAGGCGUAGAAACAAUGAAACAAACGGAUAGAUAGACAAUCAUAGGAAUGCGAGAGAUGUAAAGUAAAAGGUGAGAGAAAGAAUGACUGCAUCAGUGAAUGCUUAUAUAUAAAUAUUAAUGUGGGAAUUUGGGUUGACAAAAUCGAUAGCGCAUCAGACAAAAUAACAUGUGGCAUUUAGUUGCGACCAUUUAUUAUGUUCUGAGUUCAAAUUACACCAAGGUCAACUUUUAUUUUCAUUCCUCUUGGAAGUAAAUGAUAAAAUAUGUUUUUGUCAAGUACUGAGGUCAAUUUAUAUUUCAAUAAUGCGUACCAUAUUCUUUAUCUCUUACUCUUUUCAGUCAUUGGACUGCGGCCAUGCUGGGACACCACCUUAAAGGGUUUAGUCGAACGAGUCGACCCCAGUACUUUUUUUUUUUGAAUUUGGUACUCAUGCUAUCAUCUCUUUUGUCGAACCGCUAAAUUAGAGACGUAAACAAACCAACACCGGUUGUCGAGCACACACACACAAACACACGAUGGACUCCCACACGGUUUCUGUCUACCACAUUCAAUGAUGAGGCGUUGGUCGACCUGGGACUAUAGAAGAAAACACUUGCUCAAGGUACUGUGCAGUAGAACAGAACCAGAAAUCUGGAAAGAAAGGGAAAUAUAGAGAUGAAAAUGAAUUCUGGCUGCAAAAUUUAAACUCAGAACUGAGGGAAUGGAACUGGCCACCAAAGAACAUUUUGUCAUUCCAUCACUGAUACUAAGUUCUGAUAUUCCUUAGAAAGUAUCUUGCUCAGGUUUGAAAGGAACUUUUUAAGUUCAGAUCUAUGUGAAUCUUCCUCACAGGGCAGUGGAGACAACAAGGUAAAGUUGACAAACUGGAUGCUUUACUGUUCUGAGAUCAACUUAGCUGAACCAUCUUUACUUGUCUUCUCUUUCUAGUAUGAAUAAAAU
rnacentral:lncRNA from 1 species